rnacentral:rRNA from 1 species
GACCCGAAACCCGGUGAUCUAGCCAUGGGCAGGUUGAAGGUUGGGUAACACUAACUGGAGGACCGAACCGACUAAUGUUGAAAAAUUAGCGGAUGACUUGUGGCUGGGGGUGAAAGGCCAAUCAAACCGGGAGAUAGCUGGUUCUCCCCGAAAGCUAUUUAGGUAGCGCCUCGUGAAUUCAUCUCCGGGGGUAGAGCACUGUUUCGGCAAGGGGGUCAUCCCGACUUACCAACCCGAUGCAAACUGCGAAUACCGGAGAAUGUUAUCACGGGAGACACACGGCGGGUGCUAACGUCCGUCGUGAAGAGGGAAACAACCCAGACCGCCAGCUAAGGUCCCAAAGUCAUGGUUAAGUGGGAAACGAUGUGGGAAGGCCCAGACAGCCAGGAUGUUGGCUUAGAAGCAGCCAUCAUUUAAAGAAAGCGUAAUAGCUCACUGGUCGAGUCGGCCUGCGCGGAAGAUGUAACGGGGCUAAACCAUGCACCGAAGCUGCGGCAGCGACGCUGAUGCGUUGUUGGGUAGGGGAGCGUUCUGUAAGCCUGCGAAGGUGUGCUGUGAGGCAUGCUGGAGGUAUCAGAAGUGCGAAUGCUGACAUAAGUAACGAUAAAGCGGGUGAAAAGCCCGCUCGCCGGAAGACCAAGGGUUCCUGUCCAACGUUAAUCGGGGCAGGGUGAGUCGACCCCUAAGGCGAGGCCGAAAGGCGUAGUCGAUGGGAAACAGGUUAAUAUUCCUGUACUUGGUGUUACUGCGAAGGGGGGACGGAGAAGGCUAUGUUGGCCGGGCGACGGUUGUCCCGGUUUAAGCGUGUAGGCUGGUUUUCCAGGCAAAUCCGGAAAAUCAAGGCUGAGGCGUGAUGACGAGGCACUACGGUGCUGAAGCAACAAAUGCCCUGCUUCCAGGAAAAGCCUCUAAGCAUCAGGUAACAUCAAAUCGUACCCCAAACCGACACAGGUGGUCAGGUAGAGAAUACCAAGGCGCUUGAGAGAACUCGGGUGAAGGAACUAGGCAAAAUGGUGCCGUAACUUCGGGAGAAGGCACGCUGAUAUGUAGGUGAAGCGACUUGCUCGUGGAGCUGAAAUCAGUCGAAGAUACCAGCUGGCUGCAACUGUUUAUUAAAAACACAGCACUGUGCAAACACGAAAGUGGACGUAUACGGUGUGACGCCUGCCCGGUGCCGGAAGGUUAAUUGAUGGGGUCAGCGCAAGCGAAGCUCUUGAUCGAAGCCCCGGUAAACGGCGGCCGUAACUAUAACGGUCCUAAGGUAGCGAAAUUCCUUGUCGGGUAAGUUCCGACCUGCACGAAUGGCGUAAUGAUGGCCAGGCUGUCUCCACCCGAGACUCAGUGAAAUUGAACUCGCUGUGAAGAUGCAGUGUACCCGCGGCAAGACGGAAAGACCCCGUGAACCUUUACUAUAGCUUGACACUGAACAUUGAGCCUUGAUGUGUAGGAUAGGUGGGAGGCUUUGAAGUGUGGACGCCAGUCUGCAUGGAGCCGACCUUGAAAUACCACCCUUUAAUGUUUGAUGUUCUAACGUGGACCCGUGAUCCGGGUUGCGGACAGUGUCUGGUGGGUAGUUUGACUGGGGCGGUCUCCUCCUAAAGAGUAACGGAGGAGCACGAAGGUUGGCUAAUCCUGGUCGGACAUCAGGAGGUUAGUGCAAUGGCAUAAGCCAGCUUGACUGCGAGCGUGACGGCGCGAGCAGGUGCGAAAGCAGGUCAUAGUGAUCCGGUGGUUCUGAAUGGAAGGGCCAUCGCUCAACGGAUAAAAGGUACUCCGGGGAUAACAGGCUGAUACCGCCCAAGAGUUCAUAUCGACGGCGGUGUUUGGCACCUCGAUGUCGGCUCAUCACAUCCUGGGGCUGAAGUAGGUCCCAAGGGUAUGGCUGUUCGCCAUUUAAAGUGGUACGCGAGCUGGGUUUAGAACGUCGUGAGACAGUUCGGUCCCUAUCUGCCGUGGGCGCUGGAGAACUGAGGGGGGCUGCUCCUAGUACGAGAGGACCGGAGUGGACGCAUCACUGGUGUUCGGGUUGUCAUGCCAAUGGCACUGCCCGGUAGCUAAAUGCGGAAGAGAUAAGUGCUGAAAGCAUCUAAGCACGAAACUUGCCCCGAGAUGAGUUCUCCCUGACUCCUUGAGAGUCCUGAAGGAACGUUGAAGACGACGACGUUGAUAGGCCGGGUGUGUAAG